CACCCAGUCCCGCACCCCACCCACCCCCGAUUCACAUCCCCUCCACCUCCUCUCAUCUCCUCUGCCAAUGGGAUCUCUCCCUUUGUCUGAUCCAUGUCGGGAUCCUCCGUCGUGUGGCCGCACACGCGCGCAGCCCUCCUCCACCGCCCAGCCGACAAGGCCCAUCGUGACGGCCAGCCCAGGCUGCUCCCCGCCGCGGCAUGGAGGUGGCGGUGUAUGAGGUGGUGCUGCGGCGCGGACGGUGAUGGAGGAGGCGGUGUACGAGGUGGUGCUGCGGCAGGCCACCUAGGGUUUGCGCCUCCUCCCUCCGCCCCCAUCACACAAGCCGCAUCGAGGAGGACGACGCCGACCUCGGACCGUCGGAAGCACCAUGGAGAAGUACGAGAAGCUGGAGAAGGUCGGGGAGGGCACCUACGGCAAGGUGUACAAGGCGCAGGACAAGGCGACGGGCCAGGUGGUGGCGCUCAAGAAGACCCGCCUGGAGAUGGACGAGACGACGAAGGGAUCCCGACCACCGCGCUCCGUGAGAUCUCCCUCCUCCGCCUCCUCUCCAGCUCCCUCUACAUCGUCCGCCUCCUCGCCGUCGAGCAGGCCACCAAGGGCGGCGGCGCUGGCGGUGGAGGGAAGCCCGUCCUCUACCUCGUCUUCGAGUUCCUUGACACUGACCUCAAGAAGUUUGUCGACGCCUACUGCCGUGGGCCUGCCCCUAAGCCGCUCCCAACUCAGGUCGUCAAGGUAGCGAUUUUAAUUAGUUUUGAGGCUGAUUUGCCCUUGCCCUGCUCACCUGGCUUUCUGCCGAUGCUACGUCGGCUGAGUCUCCUAUCCAUCGAUCUGAGGACUUGGCACUUCCUCAUAUAUGCCCAUUCUGAACUCUGAGUUUUGCAUCGGAAACGUGCAGAACAUUGAUAUGCAAUCAGAGCAAACUACACUGUAAACUUGUAGCUGGUUUGAAUUCGUCGAAAAAUAUGCAAACUCUACUACUCUAGCCUAGUUGCAGGAGACUAAAUUAGGAACUAAGUAGUGCUAGUAUAAUGAUUGAAACUCAAUGUUGACUGCUGCUGGCGUUCUCUAUUUUGCAUACACUCAAGUACAGAUUAACUUGUUGUUAGCUUUGGAAUCAAUUCAUCUUCAUGCCUUUAUUUUGAGGAUGCUAUCGUUAAUUUUCAUUGGAUAGCAGAUGGUAGAGUCCAGUUUAAUUUUGAUAGGUCUGUUUCGGGCUAAUAGACAACUUUCUUUACUUUCUUGUAGAGUUUUUUGUAUCAGUUAUGCAAAUGAAUUGCACACUGCCAUGGCCAUGGUGUCCUUCAUCAGUUAGACCUUUGUUUUCUGAUUUAUGUUUUCUGAUCCAUGGACAAGGAGAAGAUGAUACUGAAAAUUGCAGAUCUUGGGUUAAGUAGAGCUUUUACUGUUCCUAUGAAAAGCAGAUCUUGGGUUAAUGUACAGUGACGGUGCUGCUGCACUUGUGCUAGUCAGUGGGGAGAAAGCUAGAACCUUGGUCUUCAAGUUCUUGCAAGGACCAGAGGGCACUUGAGCUAUUUACAGAAGAAGGGACCCGGCCUUCUUCAUGUCUUGUGGUAGUGUCUUCCUUUGAUUCAUUCGUGCAACAAAGAGGGGACCUGGCCUUCUUCACGUCUCGUGCAAAAAGGGUGAUUGACACUGACUACGACAGCCUGGUGGGCGUCGUGCUCUUCAACUACUUAGAGGUGGACUUCGACGUGAAGCCCAGCGACCGCGUCGCACGGAUGAUCGUCCAUGUGAUCACUCAUGGCACGGUGGAGGACCUCGACGCCAUCUUUCAGGGUGAGGGAGGAUCCGGGUCCUCCGGCGUCUGAACUCUGAGCCUUGGUAGAUACAUGUAGAGAAGUGGUCUGUUUAGGCUGGUGGUGGAACACUAGGGAAGGUAGCCACCUUCGGUUGUGUGUGUUUAAUUUAUUUUGCACUAGACGUGUCCCUGAUUUCUAUCUAUGAAUAAUGCACGUAAUUUUUAUUUUUUUUAA